rnacentral:piRNA from 1 species
UCAUCCAAGGUCAUUUCCAACCUGUGGA